GGCAAAGGGGUAGAAAAUAGUAAAAAUAAAGAAAAAUCCUUGAAUGAGUAGGUGUGUUCACACUGUAGACUGGUACUGUAUGUCAGAAAGGCCUGAUUGGUGGAGUGCUGCAGAGAUGGUUGUCUCUGUUUUACUCUACUCCUCUCAUCCUUGAAUGAGUAGGUGUGUUCACACUUUAGACUGGUACUGUAUGUCAGGACAAUGUUUCUCAUCCCACAACAAAUGUGACGUUACAAUUGCACUAAACAGUUGCACUUCGACUUAAAUAAAAUGGAAAAACUAAAUUGAAA